GACGAACGCUGGCGGCGUGCUUAACACAUGCAAGUCGAACGAAGUGGCGAACGGGUGAGUAACGCGUAAUCAACCUGCCCUUCAGAGGGGGACAACAGUUGGAAACGACUGCUAAUACCGCAUACUGAAGGAGGGGAUUGCGUCUGAUUAGCUAGUUGGAGGGGUAACGGCCCACCAAGGCGAUGAUCAGUAGGCGGUCUGGGAGGGUGGACGGGCAAAAUUGGACUGGGACAAGGCCCAGACUCCUACGGGAGGGAGCAGUGGGGAAUCUUCCGGAAUGGGCGAAAGUCUGACGGAGCAACGGCGGGUGGGUGAUGACGGCCUUCGGGUUGGAAAGCUCUGUUAAUCGGGACGCGGUACCGGAAUAGAAAGCCACGGCUAACUACGUGCCAGCAGCCGCGGUAAUAC
rnacentral:rRNA from 1 species